CGGAAAUAGAGCAGCAGGCUGGUAGCCCCUGCGCCCGCAUGUCGGGGUCUUCCCUGCCUCGG
rnacentral:ncRNA from 1 species